GUUACUUUGGCAGAUUAGUGCUUUAAAUUUAGAAUUUAAAUAAGUAUAUUAUUUAUACAGGUAGCA
rnacentral:tRNA from 1 species